CAUGAACACUCCCUACUUUGAGUUUAUACCAAUGUCUAGCUUUUCCCGUUAAAGAGAACGGAAAGAGCUUCCAUUUAAGGGUCUCAUCGGACAUGCCUUCUAUGCGAAGGAGGUCACAGACUCGAUAAAACUCUCUUAGGUGUGUGUAUGGGUUUUCCUCACCUUUUUCUGAGAAAGGUUGUUUUUGAAUAAAUUCUAUGUAUUCGGGGUCUAUCUCAAAACUAGAUGCUACGAUAGGCUUUGAAGAUUUUGGUGGUUCGAGAUGUGUGCCCAUAGGUCUAUGAAAUUCAUAGAUAGACAUGUUUGAAUUCAUAAUAGACCAGAGAUCAAGGAUUAGAUAAGAAGAAAGAAUAGCAGAGAUGAGGCAAAGAAUAAAAGGAAAAUAUUUUUAUUAUUAUUUUUUUUUAUAAAAUGAUUAAACUAGUUCGUAGUCAACUCAGCAACCGUUUCCCCGGCAACGGCGCCAAAAAUGCUUGUUGACACUUGCUAACACCACUUGAAUACUAGGUUGUCAUCCCCAGCAUGGCACUAGAGUGUACUAUGGUAUUUAUACGCACACAGAUGAUCCGC
rnacentral:lncRNA from 1 species